UCCAUAAUAAAAUGCUCGAAGCGCUGAUAAAAAACUCAAUCAUAAAACUUGGCUUUCGCGCUGAAGGCAAAGUCAGCGAUAAAAAUUCGAGAUGAAACCAGUAGCAGCAGCUUGGCAUAAAAUAAAGAUCUUGGCUAUGAACGUUGGCUCCUAUAAAACUUGAAAAUGAUUGCUCAUCCAUUAAUGCAUAGACAGUCCUGAGGAUAGCUAUGGGCGACUGCAUAACUCAACUUAGAAAGAGACUUGGACUCGAGUAAGUGCCUUGAGAUUUUUCAUUUUUAUUGAAAAUAUUACUACCAUACUUAUAUAUACAUAUAUAUAUUUUACAUUUGUACUUUACGUGAAUAUUACACAGUCUUCAGACAUUACCACCACAUUCAAUUGCAUCACCUAAACUGAAAGAAUUUUGUAUUGUCUUUCAUUCAACAUUACCCAAAAAUGUCAAAUAUUUUUAAUUAUCGUUACACUUGACAGAAAAAGCGCCUGAAAAUGCUUGGAAGCAGGAGGAAUUCAUUUUUGGGUUUACCUUAAAUCUCUGAAGAAAGCUAACAAUCACUUAAGUUCUGUCUAGUUUAUGCACCUCUGUAAUUUAUAUUUCUCUUUAGUACAGAUGUACGAUUAUAUAUGAUUAUAUGUACGAUUAUAUAGAUAAAUAUCAAUUGAAAAUUUUAGAAGAUAAUUAAACAGUAUAUAAUGGAAUAUCAAUAAAAGAUAGCUACAGAGUA